CCCUUAGACGUUCUGGGCCGCACGCGCGCUACACUGACCAGUGCAACAAGCAUCCGUCCUUGGCCGACAGGCUCGGGCAAUCUUUGAACGCUGGUCGUGAUGGGGAUAGACUUUUGCAAUUUUUGGUCUUCAACGAGGAAUUCCUAGUAAACGCAAGUCAUCAACUUGCAUUGAUUACGUCCCUGCCCUUUGUACACACCGCCCGUCGCACCUACUGAUUGGAUGACUCGGUGAAGAAUCGGGACCGUGAGAACAAUCGAUUCAUUUCGAAUGUACUUGUGGGAACCUUUCUUAACCUCGUUUUCUAGAAGAAGGUGAAGUCGUAACA
rnacentral:rRNA from 1 species